rnacentral:lncRNA from 1 species
CAAUGAUAGGAAGACUAUUUUACAUAAUUACCCCUAAUAUACUGAAACAAUUACAAAACAAAGAUUGGAUCUCGAAAACAUCCUGACCAUUUAUUUCAAUCCAACGGCAAUUUACAUAUAUCUCUUAUCACAAAUCUCUUUUGAAUCAAAAUUCUCUCUUUUUCUUUCUCUCAGCCGUUUCAUCAAACCAAGACCAAAUUCUCUUCCUGAAACCCUAAAUUGAUUUGUAGAAUUGAAUUAUGAAGAAGAAAGAAACAAACUUUACAGAUCUGAAGCCCUCUUUUGUAGUAGUUGAAGGAAAAUUCAAGAGAGAGAGAGAGAGAGAUAUGUUUGUUUGUUCAAUUGUUUUAAAGAUGAGAGCCAGUCUUCCUACAUUCAUACAUAUACAUACACAUAUACAUAUACAAAGAAGAACAAAAAGGAAGAAUCGACAACAUCAACAGGUUAACGACCUUUUCCUGUUUUUUUAGAUCAAGUUUGGUUCUUUAUCUCUUCAAUAAUUCUCAAUUUAUUAAAUUUGGUUGUUUAUUCUUCUUAAUUCAUACACAGACAUACGAAGGAGAAGAAAAAGAAGAAUAUCUACCACAUACAAAGAAUCAAGACUUGUAUAAUAUCAAUCGAAGAGCUUGAUCCUGGCUCAUCAUCAGAAGAAGCCGGAUCCAU